ACAGAACUCUUGCUUUGGUUUGGCCUAGAGAUAGGUUGGGCCAGAGGUUUAACAAAACACAAUUUAAUUAUUUUUACAGUUAGUCAAAUUUUGAAUUAAUCUUCAAAACUUUCAACAACGGAUCUCUUGGUUCUCGCAUCGAUGAAGAACGCAGCGAAAUGCGAUAAGUAAUAUGAAUUGCAGAUUUUCGUGAAUCAUCGAAUCUUUGAACGCACAUUGCGCCCUCUGGUAUUCCAGAGGGCAUGCCUGUUUGAGCGUCAUUUCUCUCUCAAACCCCCGGGUUUGGUAUUGAGUGAUACUCUUAGUCGGACUAGGCGUUUGCUUGAAAAGUAUUGGCAUGGGUAGUACUAGAUAGUGCUGUCGACCUCUCAAUGUAUUAGGUUUAUCCAACUCGUU
rnacentral:rRNA from 1 species